UGCCUUAGUAACGGCGAGUGAAGCGGCAACAGCUCAAAUUUGAAAUCUGGCGCAAGCCCGAGUUGUAAUUUGUAGAGGAUGCUUCUGGGCAGCGGCCGGUCUAAGUUCCUUGGAACAGGACGUCAUAGAGGGUGAGAAUCCCGUAUGCGACCGGUUGGCACCCGUCACGUAGCUCCUUCGACGAGUCGAGUUGUUUGGGAAUGCAGCUCUAAAUGGGAGGUAAAUGUCUUCUAAAGCUAAAUAUUGGCCAGAGACCGAUAGCGCACAAGUAGAGUGAUCGAAAGAUGAAAAGCACUUUGGAAAGAGAGUUAAAAAGCACGUGAAAUUGUUGAAAGGGAAGCGCAUGCAACCAGACUUGUCGGCGGUGUUCCGCCGGUCUUCUGACCGGUCUACUCGCUGCCGGCAGGCCAGCAUCAUUUGGGUGCGUCGGAUAAAGACGUGAGGAAUGUGGCCCCCCUCGGGGGGUGUUAUAGCCUCGCGUGUAAUACGGCGUCGCCCGAGUGAGGUCCGCGCUUCGGCUAGGAUGCUGGCGUAAUGGUUGUUUGCGGCCCGUCUUGAAACACGGACCAAGGAGUCUAACAUCUAUGCGAGUGUUCGGGUGUCAAACCCCUACGCGUAAUGAAAGUGAACGGAGGUGGGAACUUAGGUGCACCAUCGACCGAUCCUGAUGUCCUCGGAUGGAUUUGAGUAAGAGCAUAGCUGUUGGGACCCGAAAGAUGGUGAACUAUGCCUGAAUAGGGUGAAGCCAGAGGAAACUCUGGUGGAGGCUCGCAGCGGUUCUGACGUGCAAAUCGAUCGUCAAAUUUGGGUAUAGGG
rnacentral:rRNA from 1 species